AGGACACUUGCCAAAGAUGGGGCAAUGAAGGUUUUGGUGAAUAUUGCCGUUCUUUACAGAAAAUUGCCAAUCGGUGUCUUGAGAAGGCUUCAAGUGACGUGCUUACAAAAGCUGAAGUAACUUUCUUGCGUGUUCUUGAACAUGAAGUUGAGUUUUGGAACAUGAGCCAUGGUUGUGCCUGAAAGAGUUGGCUUCAAAACCUGACAUAAUGGCGUUCCUAAU
rnacentral:misc_RNA from 1 species